GGUCCCCCAGGAGUCUUGCUGGGGCAGAGCACUAAGAAGCCCUUUACAGCCACUGAGACAUGUCCACUCUGACGGCUCCUCUCUGAUCCUGACUCAGUGUGCUGAGGCUCCAAUCAAUCCAGCAGCACAAGACCUGGGCACCUCAAGUUCUACCCUUAAAGGGGUUAGAGCAAGGCUUGGGGCCCCUACUGUAUGAUGACUACCUUCCUAUUUGUUCAUAAAGAGACUUCUCAUCGCAGCCCAGGGGAGAGGAAGCUGAAGGACCAUUAGAUCCACUGGACAGAGGAGGAAACUGGAAUUCAGGGCAGAAGACUCCUGAGGCUCUUCCCCUUAUCCUGCUUCAACUGCUUUCUGACUUGACUGGAGUUGUAGCAGUGGUGCUCUCUCUGCAGGGGAAAUAAUCCUCCAGAUUUUCCUAAAAUCAAGUUAGGCCCAAGCCCCUCUCUGCUUCAGUGUCCCCAAAUGUCCUUGAUGAAGGCCUGGCUACGGGGAAGGAGGUCCACUCAGGACACAAGUUGCACAGGAAGGGCGAGAAGCCAGACCAAGCCUAGAAGCUGAACAGGCCUAACAGGCCCUGAGGAAUCCUGUUCCACCCCUACCUUGGAGAACAAGCCGAAGCAGCCAAUGCAGCUGAUGAUGCAGUACACUUUGGGAAGUCGAGGGCCGGGGCCGGCGGGCUGGGGAGAGACAAGAGGCAUCUUCAGUGCUGCAGCCUUCCCAGUAGUUUCUCCCACCUGGGGCUGAGGAGCUCAGGGCUGAGUGCUGGGGAUGGGGGUAAAUGGGGACUUAUGGGCUGGAUGGAGAAAGGCCUGGCUAGGCAGUGGUUCCAUUCAUGGGACAGGCAGCUGGGAGGUCAGAAUGGUCACCAAGGUCAAAAGAAGAUGGCCUUCAGGGAGCUGAGGUUCAUAGACAAGCCCCGCUGCCUUCAGGGCCAACACAAUCUGAAGGUCAGCAAAGCGAGGGAGCAAGCACGUCUUAGAGAUGAGGAAAUGGCUAAGUAGGACAGCACUGUCAAGGUGCUUGCAGAGAAUCGUGGAGACCCAAGAAGUGGACCUAGUUGUUCAAAUUCCAGCCUCUGCUCUGGGGGACUCCUGGGGCCAAGGCAAGCAGGUCUGGAUAAGAAGACAGGGAGAGGAGUCAAGUGGAGCCUCUCACAAUGCACGGAGCUAUUAAAAGCUAGGAAGAGCACAGACCAGAACCUGGCCAGCAAAGGUAUCACAGGUGAGAAAGAAGGAGUGCGAUGUCCUCCCUCUCAUGGGGCUGCAGAAGGGACAUUAGCAGAAUAGCAAGUUCUGGGCUGAGUCCCUACAACCACCACUGCAGGGAGCCUGAGCUUUUGCAGCUGAAGCUUGAGCAAGCCCAGCUGUGGAGCUGAGCAGGCUGCAGAUAGGAGGGGGCAGUGCUGGGCCACACAGACCAAGAGGCGCCUGCAGUAUCCAAUCUUCCUGCUGCCGUCCACAUUGGUCAGGACAAAGGAGAAAGUCUCCCUGCAAGAAGAGCAAACAAGACUUGGUUUGCAUUACUCACUAGAUUCUAAAAGGAGGUCAAAAGGGAGCUGAUGAAUAAUCAUGUUAGUAAUAACCCCGGUAAUUUAUUAAAUGCUUAUUGGUGUCAAGCCCUAAAUGCAUCACCUCAUCGGAUCCUCAAAGAAAUCUUUUGAGACAGGGUCUUGCUAGUUUGCUGAGGCUGACUGUAAAUUUGCAAUCCUCCUGCCUCAGACUCCUCCCCAGGUCCCUGAGAUUACAGGCAUGUACCACCACACCCCACCUGUAAAGAGCAGGAGGGGACUCCUUCUAGAAGGCAUGGCAGAAGGUCUUGCAAGGAUGCACACAACGGUGUCCUUCAGGGAGGCAGUGUGACACAACAGCAGGUCAGGCAUCUGAGAAGCACCUGGAGGAGCAGAGAAAGACAACAGAGAACAGAGAGCUACUGGCACAGGCCUGGAACAGAGAAAUCGAGCUUACAAGAGGCCUGGCAACUGAGGAAGCAGAAUAUAGUAGUAAUCAGCUUCUGAGACGGCAUGAUGGGUAGGAGGUCUGAGCAUCAAUCAAGUUGUAGAUAAUAUAAGAAACAGGGAGCCUCAAGUUUCUGGGGUGAAUGAGCCACGCGGUGAUAAUAACUGUUUUGUUUUGCGCUCAAAGGAAACUAAAUGCAAAUUGGCACAGAUAGUCUGGGGCUCAGAUGCCAGUCCUCAUCAAGAAAUCAGGUUGAAGUUCUCGGUUGGCCUAGCAACAGUGGCCUGGUUGCAUUACACCCAAUUGAGGGACAGGACUAAGGUUGUUUAUCAGCUUGUUCUGGGGAAGGAGGUGGAACCAUCACCCUCACCACUAACCAGCGGAAAUGGCUGUUCCCUGAGAUGGUUGUGGGACUUCCUGCCAGCACAGUGAGCCCAUACCUCAGUCUCUCCAUAGCCAGAGAUGCGGAGGGGGCAGGGCAUUCCUAAUGAUCAACAGACUCCAGCCAAAGCUUCCGGGUCAACACUGAGCUGCAAGUGGCCUUGGGGAGGCUUGCAGGCACAGAGAGCACCAGGCUUUCAGUCAGGAAUUCCUGUGUUUAAAUCCUGGCCGGCUUGGUAGACUUCUCCUAUGUCCAAAGGGGAGAGGGCCUCAGGUUGGGGAACUCACUUUCUCUCCCAUCGGCUUAAGUAUUUGCCCUUUCCUUCCCAGUUCCCAGGAUCGCUUUAACCCUCCUCUUGCACUGACAGCCAGAACUCAAGAUUCUGCUUAUUUUAUUUUGCAGAGCAAUUCAGUUUUCUUUGUUUCAUUUUUUUUUUCUCUGAAGACUGGAUCUUGGGACGUAAGUGAUCAUCCAAAUUUUUUUCCAAACAAACAAAAUAAUCUCUAAGGAGAAUUCUGCUCCCAGCUUUAAAAUAGACAUAUUCCCCUCCACCCCCUCUUACCAUGUUAGUUACCUGGAGAACAUCCCUUGUUUCUCCAGGUAACCAGGCUGAUUGCUGUCUUCGACACAGACCCCGAGGGGUCCCAGGGCACUGCUGCUGUCUUUCCAGGCUGUGGCUUUGUCAUCAGAAAUGGUGCCCUUCUCCGUGCCCCUCCUGUGCUUCUCAGUCAGCUUAUUUAUGAAGUCCUCCCCAAGCACAAUGCCAUUGGGCAGCAUCCUAUCAGAACAUUUAUUACAUACAUCCACCAAACAUGGGGCGAGGAGGAGCUCUUUGGGAACAAAACUGCAAAAAAGCAGUCAAUGGUAGAAAUCACCCAUUCCCCACUGCACAUCCCUCCUGCCAGUCCCACGUCACUUCUUCCCGGCUAACAGGAGCCCUAUUUGCAAGAACCAAUAGAAUCCCUUGAAUUCAAGGAGGAGAGAAAUGUAAUUCACCUAAAUCAGAUAGUCAAAGGGCAGGAUUACAAUUUAAAGAUCCAAAUCGGCCUUAUUUUUGGUUGGACAAAAUCAAGCCACAGAACUUAAGAGUUCUAACGGGCUGGGGCUGAAGAGAUGGAUUUUUAUAAACAGAAAAGGGCUAAAGAAGCAGCAACCAAGAAGAAAACACGAUUUGAUGGUUUCAACGUGACUUUCUCUUAAGGCAGGGGCAGGAAGACAGAGCAAUACACACACCUAGUAGUUGGCUGGUUCACGUCAGGUUACUCUGUGUGUAAGGAUUAAGGCAGAAGGAACCUCAUCAUAGUGCCACCUGAAGCUGGUCUGGGAAUUUGGGCUGUUAUCUCUUUUCUGAUUUCUUGGAAGGUAAGAUAACAUACUUAAUGUCUGUUUGAUUUUUUUUUUUUUAGUAUGAGUGACUUCAUUUUGAUUUUUAAUUUGUUUUAUUGGGGCCCAGUUGUAGGAGAUUGGCCUAAAACAAUGACGCCCUAUCGUUUUCAACAAAACAUACAAAUGUCAUUCUCCUAAGGAUGGCCACAUGACCCAUGUGUAUGGGUAUGUGCUUCCAGUAAAGCUUUGUUUUCUGGAUAAAAAGAAACAAGCUCGGCUGGAUGGGCACCUUAUGACCUUCUGCCAUUUCUUCUUUCCUGGAAUAGUACCAUUACACCUGGAAGUUCAGCAGCAAUCUUGGGACUAUGAGGCAAAGGAAAAAGACAAAAAAAAAAAACAACCUGUUAAGGUAUGUUUUAAAUCUGUGAGGUGAACAGAGAGCCUACAUCCUGGGAGCAAAUCUUUACCCCUCACACAUCAGAUAGAGCGCAAAUCUCUAGGGUAUAUAAAGAACUCAAAAAGCUAAGCACCAAAAAAACAAAUAACCCAAUCAAUAAAUGGACCAAAGACCGGAAGAGACACUUCUCAGAAGAGGAGAUACAAUCAAUCAACAAAUAUAUGAAAAAAUGCUCACCAUCUCUAGCAAUCAGAGAAAUGCAAAUCAAAACUGCUCUAAGAUUUCAUCUCACUCCAGUCAGAAUGGCAGCUAUUAUGAAGACAAACAACAAGUGUUGGCAAUGAUGUGGAGAAAAAGGCACACUCAUACAUUGCUGGUGGGACUGCAAAUUGGUGCAACCAAUAUGGAAAGCAGUAUGGAGAUUCCUUGAAAAUCUGGGAAUGGAAUCACCAUUUGACCCAGCUAUCCCUCUCCUCGGUCUAUACCCAAAGGACUUAAAAACAGCAUACUACAGGGACACAGCCACAUCAAUGUUUAUAGAAGCACAAUUCACAAUAGCUAAACUGUGAAGCCAACCUAGAUGCCCUUCAGUGGAUGAAUGGAUUAAAAAAAUGUGGUAUAUAUACACAAUGGAAUUUUACUCAGCAAUAAAAGAGAAUAAAAUCAUGAUAUUUGCAGGUAAAUGGAUGGCGUUAGAAAAGAUAAUGCUAAGUGAUGUUAGCCAAUCCCCCCAAAAAACAAAUGCGGAAUGUUUUCUCUGAUAUAAGGAGACUGACUCAUAGUGGGGUAGGGAGGGGGAGAAUGGGAGGAAUAGAUGAAUUCUGAAUGGGGAACAGGAGAGGGAGGGAAAGGGAGGAGGCAGGGGAUUAGCAAGGAUGGUGGAAUGUGAUGGACAUCAUUAUCCAAAGUACAUGUAUGAAGACACGAAUUGGUUGUCAACCUACUUUACAUACAGAGGUAUGAAAAAUCGUGGUAUAUAUGUGUAAUAAGAAUUGUAAUGCCAAAAAAGUACAUGUAUAAAGACAUGAGUUGGCAUGAACAUAUUUUAUAUACAAAGAUAUGAGAAAUUGUGCUCUAUUUGUGUAAUAAGAAUUGUAAUGCAUUCCGCUCUCAUGUAUUUAAAAAAAUAAAAUCAGUUUUUUUUUAAAAAAGAUAUGGUUUAGCAGAAA